rnacentral:lncRNA from 1 species
AGUAGGUAGGGUCCACUGCAUCAACCUUGUUGAUAGACUCUAUCCAACUGCUGACCCGACGUUAGACCCGAACUUUGCUGAGUAUCUCAAGCGUCGUUGUCCCCAUCCUGACCCAAACCCGCUUGCAGUGGAAUACUCGAGGAGUGACCUACAAACACCAAUGAUUUUAGACAACAUGUACUACAAGAACAUCAAAAAUAACAAGGGACUGCUUAUCGUUGAUCAACAACUUGUUUCGAACCCGAUCACAUCUCCAUAUGUUGACAAAAUGGCAGCUGAUAAUGAUUACUUUCAUGAUCAGUUUGCUAAGGCUCUUCUCACUUUGUCAGAGAACAACCCGAUAAGCGAGGAAGAAGGCGAGGUGCGAAAAGAUUGUCGUUUUGUAAAUCAU